GACUUUGCUAUUUCAGAAGUGGCAGCACUGGCUAUCUGUCAAAUCAGGAUCUGGACCAAAGUGUUGACUCGAAUACAUACACAGAGUGUUGGCAAGCUAUUUUAUCAUGGAGUUAGUGACACAUUGUAAACAUUCCAAUGUGCUGCCUAGAAAAGAGCACGCAACAUCCCAAUCUAAUUGCUUUAUGCUGGUAUUCCUCCAUUACCUAAUCAUUGUGUGUCAAAUAUUCUGACUGAAAACAUGCUAGCCAUGCUGAUGCCAGCAAGGAAUACUCCUCGAUUGUCCCCCAUCCUCUUUCUUGGAUCUUAAUUUCUGGGAAUGUUUGUUCAUAUUAGUUUACUCGCUGGCUGCCACAUUUUGCUUCCCAUGUGAGAUCUAUUGAAUUUCACGUGUGUUGAUGGUGUGGAAUCCUGGUAUUGCUAACUAUUAGCUCCAGUCUAAAUUUGGUCUUGUUGCCGAUUUUUUUUGGCACAAUACUUUCCCUCCAGAAGCCGGUCUUUAGUGAACUAUCGGAGGUUCUUGAUCCAAAAUAUUCAUUGAUUCACUGGCCUAUUAGCACGAAAUGUGGUAAAACCCUUUUGAGAAGAGCCUUGUUGUGCCAAACUUUAAAGUUCUGUUGAUCGUUCGACAUACCAAGAACUUUCCCAGGAAUUCAAAGGAAGUUCUAGUGGCAGCUUAUGUUCACUGGCAAAUGCUGCGUGACACAUUAUGACACACAAAACAAGCCUAGACGCCCAUUUAUUCCACAUCAAACAUCUCUUUAUCCUUCGUGACCAGAUAACUCCUUUUCAAGUCGACUUAAAAGUAGCGGUCGACGAAAUAGCGGGCAGCAGAGUGCCGAUUUGACUGUUGGGGACGUUAUAUUGGAGCACUUCCACCACUAUGAAAAAUUUGUGACAUCUAAUGUGAAGCUGCCCCUUCAACACUACAACCAAAUUGAAGAUCUCGAUUCGGCUUUAGCCAACAACGAUCUAUCGAUUGCAAUGUGUGCCUUUUUUUCAAAAAUCUUGAAAACCAUGUCAUCUCGCGAUCAAAUAUCGAAGAUGUUGAUGAGCAAACUCUUCACCAAUUCAUUGUGAUCAAAGAUUCAAUGGAAAAAAAGAGGAAACGACAGGCGUCCAGGAUUCGGUCAUCUGACCAAUCUGAUUGCAGUUAUGGGAGUUAUUAUUAACAUCAUACGGGAAAUCAACAAUAAGGCACCUAAAGUGGACUUCAAAGAGCUAAUAGGAACCAUCCAAAGCGCUCGUCGCAUCUUCGUCGUUCGAGUUAAAAAACAAAGAAUUGAAUCAAAUCGAAGUCCCAGACGAGGUAGAAGGGCACAGAGCCGAUCGUAAAACCCAACUCGCUGUAGACAGCAGAAUGGCAGAACUGUACAACGCCAUCCUGAAUUUUGAACUAAAUUAGCGGUUUAUGUACAAGUCAUCUGUGUUAAGCAGUUAUUGAUUCCUCAAGUACAUCCCGUGUUUAAUUGCUCAUUUCAUUGCUCAUUUAAGAAUUUUAUGACGUUUCAGUUUAAGCAAUAGGACAAUACAUUUGAGAAUCCCGGAGUAAAA
rnacentral:lncRNA from 1 species